GCCAGCUGCGCCUGCAGCGCCUCCACCUGCUGCUGCAGCGACGAGAUGGCGCCGACGCAGCCGUAGAUCGGGUCCCUCACCCGCGCGUUCGCCUCGUACACCAGGCUGCUCACGGCGUCCCCCCUGUGCUGCACCGGCACCAGUACAUGACAAGGUAGAAGAAACGUCCAUUCCCACCUGACAAUCGUGCAAGCACACACACAGUGAGCCAGUGACAUUGUGACAAGGCUACUAGGAGGCUAGGGCCAAGGAGAAGAAAUUGAGAAAAGAUGGUGGCGAUUUGGGGGUGUCUCUCUGGUUCCAAGAAAAGGGAAUGGAAGGAAGGAUUUUUAGGGACAUUUUUGCAUGUUUGGUGCAGCCGAAAGCUUUUUUUCUUUUUCUUUUUACGCAGCAUGUGCGAGCCUUGUGUGAAGGUGACUGCCCAAGGCUGCUGAGACUGUGAGGACGAGGCCGUAUACCACCACUGAUGGGCUACUGUUUCAGGCGGCUCGACACAUGGGGGAGGGUUCAGUUUGGAGAUCACUAUGCUGAGGUCUCUGUCGAUUUAAUUAGUACUACAACACACUGCAGUACUCGAACUUGCUCACAAAAAAAAAAGCAAUCUUUUCUUUU